rnacentral:miRNA from 1 species
UGUGUGUGUGUGUAUGUAUGUAUGUAUGUAUAUGUGUGUAUAUAUGUAUAUAUGUAUACACACAUAUACAUAUAUACAUACACACACACACACACA